ACUCAAAUGAAUUGACGGGGGCCCGCACAAGCGGAGGAACAUGUGGUUUAAUUCGAUGAUACGCGAGGAACCUUACCUGGGUUUAAAUGGGGAGUGACAGGCUUGGAAACAGGCCCUUCUUCGGACACUCUUCAAGGUGCUGCAUGGUUGUCGUCAGCUCGUGCCGUGAGGUGUCGGGUUAAGUCCCAUAACGAGCGCAACCCCUAUCGAUAGUUACCAGCACGUUACGGUGGGGACUCUAUCGAGACUGCCGGUGUAAACCGUGAGGAGGGUGGGGAUGACGUCAAAUCAGCACGGCCCUUACAUCCAGGGCUACACACGUGUUACAAUGGCCGGUACAAAGGGCAGCUACACAGCGAUGUGAUGCUAAUCUCCAAAUCCGGUCUCAGUUCGGAUCGAAGUCUGCAACCCGACUUCGUGAAGCUGGAUUCGCUAGUAAUCGCGCAUCAGCCAUGGCGCGGUGAAUACGUUCCCGGGCCUUGUACACACCGCCCGU
rnacentral:rRNA from 1 species